rnacentral:rRNA from 1 species
UACGUAGGGGGCAAGCGUUGUCCGGAUUUAUUGGGCGUAAAGAGCGUGUAGGCGGCUUUGCAAGUCCGUUGUGAAAACUCGAGGCUCAACCUCGAGACGCCGGUGGAAACUGCAAAGCUAGAGUCCGGAAGAGGAGAGUGGAAUUCCUGGUGUAGCGGUGAAAUGCGCAGAUAUCGAGAGGAACACCUGCGGCGAAGGCGGGUUGCUGGGCUGACACUGACGCUGAGGCGCGAAAGCGUGGGGAGCAAACAGG